rnacentral:rRNA from 1 species
AUGGAGCAUAGAUGCUGUCAAAAAUGUGAGAUCAGAGAGGUACUUGAUGCAGCAGAGGUUACCACAUACGUUGUGUCUAAGAAGGAAAGAACGGAUAAAAAGAUCGAAGUGCGCACGGAGUCGAAGGAAGUUCUUCUUCGCAGUAUCAGUUGUUCUUGCCACAAAUUGGAAUGCGCAUGCACACCAUGUUCCCACAUAUUUUACAUAUUGGGAAUUUUACAAGAAGAAACACUGCCCAGGUGUUGUGUUCCCACUAGGUGGACAAUGAGUGCAAAAUGUGCAUUCGCACCGACCAGAAAGAGAGAGAUGUAUGCAUACUCUGCAGCCCUACAAAGGUACCGUAAGCUAAGGAAUUUUAGUCACGCAGCAUGUUUCAAGGCAUGCCACUCUGAUGAGGCAUUUCAGCAUCUAAAAAGGGUUUUGGAAGGACAAGAUGUUUGCAAGGGAUCAACAAGUGAACAAGAUGAUAGCAAGGGAUCAACUAAGGCUCAGGGUAACAAUAUUAGGUUUGGCCCGCUGAUGCCACAAUCGGUUAACCUUGAUGGUGAAGGUUUCGAAAAGGUUCUGGAUCCAGUGCAUGUGCCAGGCCGAGGUGCUCCAGAGAAAAGGCUACAUGCAAAUAUGAAGAAAACAAGAACAAAGGGUAGAUGUAGCUAUUGUCAUUAG